CUACCCGUGGCACAGCUGGAUAGCGCGUCAGACUCCGACUCUGAAGGCCAGCGGUUCGAAUCCGCUCGGGUAGGCCA
rnacentral:tRNA from 1 species